GGGUCGUUAGCUCAGUUGGUAGAGCAGUUGACUCUUAAUCAAUUGGUCGCUGGUUCGAACCCAGCACGACCCACCA
rnacentral:tRNA from 20 species